rnacentral:rRNA from 1 species
ACUCCGGUUGAUCCUGCCGGACCCGACCGCUAUCGGGGUAGGCUAAGCCAUGGGAGUCGAACGCCCCGCCGCUGCGGGGCGUGGCGGACGGCUGAGUAACACGUGGCUAACCUACCCUCGGGACGGGGAUAACCCCUCGGGAAACUGGGGCUAAUCCCCGAUAGGCGGGGGGUGCCUGGAAGGGUCCUCCGCCGAAAGGGGCCGCGGGGGGUUAUCGCCCGCGGUCCGCCCGAGGAUGGGGCUGCGGCCCAUCACGGUAGUUGGCGGGGUAAUGGCCCGCCAAGCCUACGACGGGUAGGGGCCGUGAGAGCGGGAGCCCCCAGAUGGGCACUGAGACAAGGGCCCAGGCCCUACGGGGCGCACCAGGCGCGAAAACUCCGCAAUGCGGGCAACCGUGACGGGGCUACCCCGAGUGCCCCCCUUGGGGGGGCUUUUCCCCGCUGUAAGUAGGCGGGGGAAUAAGCGGGGGGCAAGACUGGUGUCAGCCGCCGCGGUAAUACCAGCCCCGCGAGCGGUCGGGGUGCUUACUGGGCCUAAAGCGCCGUAGCCGGCUCGACAAGUCCCCGCCUAAAGCCCCGGGCUCAACCCGGGGAGUGGCGGGGAUACUGUCGGGCUAGGGGGCGGGAGAGGCCGAGGGUACUCCCGGGGUAGGGGCGAAAUCCAUUAAUCCCGGGAGGACCACCAGUGGCGAAGGCGCUCGGCUGGAACGCGCCCGACGGUGAGGGGCGAAAGCCGGGGGAGCGAACCGGAUUAGAUACCCGGGUAGUCCCGGCUGUAAACGAUGCGGGCUAAGUGUUGGGCGGGCGUGCGAACCCGCCCAGUGCCGCAGGGAAGCCGUUAAGCCCGCCGCCUGGGGAGUACGGCCGCAAGGCUGAAACUUAAAGGAAUUGGCGGGGGAGCACCACAAGGGGUGGAGCCUGCCGCUUAAUUGGAGUCAACGCCGGGAACUCUCCACCGGGGGCGACAGCAGGAUGACGGCCAGGCUGAAGGCCUUGCCCGACGCGCUGAGGGGAGAUGCAUGGCCGUCGCCAGCUCGUGCCGUGAGGUGUCCUGUUAAGUCAGGCAACGAGCGAGACCCCCGCCCCUAGUUGCCAUCCCCGGGGCGACCCGGGGGGCACACUAUGGGGACUGCCGCCGCUAAGGCGGAGGAAGGAGGGGGCAACGGCAGGUCAGCAUGCCCCUAAACCCCCGGGCUGCACGCGGGCUACAAUGGCGGGGACAGCGGGUGCCGACCCCGAAAGGGGGAGGCAAUCCCUCAAACCCCGCCUCAGUUGGGAUCGANGGCUGCAACUCGCCCUCGUGAACGUGGAAUCCCUAGUAACCGCGCGUCAUCAUCGCGCGGUGAAUACGUCCCUGCUCCUUGCACACACUGCCCGUCGCUCCCCCCGAGGGGGGAGAAGUCGUAACAAGGUAGCCGUACGGGAACCUGCGGCUGGAUCACCUC